rnacentral:rRNA from 1 species
UUGGAGGGCAGUCUGGUGCCAGCAGCCGCGGUAAUUCCAGCUCCAAUAGCGUAUAUUAAAGUUGUUGCAGUUAAAAAGCUCGUAGUUGAAUUUCGGGAUCAGAUUGUCGGUCGUGCCUCGGUACGCACUGGUAUUAUUGGUUCCUACCUUCUGAAGAACCGCGAUGUCAUUGAUUUGGUGUCGUGGGGAAUCAGGACUGUUACUUUGAAAAAAUUAGAGUGUUUAAAGCAGGCUUACGCUUGAAUACAUUAGCAUGGAAUAAUGAAAUAGGACGUUUGAUUCUAUUUUGUUGGUUUCUAGGAUUGACGUAAUGAUUAAUAGGGAUAGUUGGGGGCAUUAGUAUUCAAUUGUCAGAGGUGAAAUUCUUGGAUUUAUUGAAGACUAACUACUGCGAAAGCAUUUGCCAAGGAUGUUUUCAUUAAUCAAGAACGAAAGUUAGGGGAUCGAAGACGAUCAGAUACCGUCGUAGUCUUAACCAUAAACUAUGCCGACUAGGGAUCGGAUGAUGUUAAUUUUUUAAUGACUCAUUCGGCGCCUUACGGGAAAC